rnacentral:rRNA from 1 species
GAUGAACGCUGGCGGCGUGCUUAAUACAUGCAAGUCGAGCGAACGGACGAUAAGCUUGCUUCUCUGAUGUUAGCGGCGGACGGGUGUGUAACACGUGGAUAACCUACCUAUAAGAGUGGUAUAACUUCGGGAAACGGGAUCUAAUACCGGAUAAUAUCUUGAACCGCAGGGGUGAAAAGUGAAAGACGGUCUUGCUGUCAGUUAUAGAUGGAUCUGCGCUGCAUUAGCUAGUUGGUAAGGUAACGGCUUACCAAGGCAACGAUGCAUAGCCGACCUGAGAGGGUGAUAGGCCACACUGGAACUGGGACACGGUCCAGACUCCUACGAGAGGCCGCAGUAGGGAAUCUUCCGCAGUGGGCGAGAGCCUGACAGAGCAACGGCACGUGAGAGAUGGAGGUGUUGGGUGCGUAAUACUGUGUUAUUAGGGGAAAACAUAUGUCGAAGUUGCUGAGCACAGCGUGACGGUAACUAGUCAGAAAGCAACGGCUAACUACGUG